AUUGAACGCUGGCGGCAGGCCUAACACAUGCAAGUCGGGCGAGUGGCGGACGGGUGAGUAAUGUAUGGGGAUCUGCCUGAUGGCGGGGGAUAACUACUGGAAACGGUAGCUAAUACCGCAUACCAUCAGAUGAACCCAUAUGGGAUUAGCUAGUAGGUAAGGUAAUGGCGUACCUAGCCGACGAUCCCUAGCUGGUCUGAGAGGAUGAUCAGCCACACUGGGACGGAGACACGGCCCGGACGCCUACGGGAGGCAGCAGUGGGGAAUAUUGCGCAAUGGGCGCAAGCCUGAUGCAGCCAUGCCGCGUGUAUGAAGAAGGCCUUCGGGUUGUAAAGUACUUUCCGUCGGGAGGCGUUACCGACAGAAGAAGCACCGGCUAACUCCGUGCCAGCAGCCGCGGUAAUAC
rnacentral:rRNA from 1 species